GGCGAAGCUACAUUAAAUUCCGGAUGUGCCUUCCGCGGCGUCGUUGUGUUUCAAACGUCGGAAGGCAGGGCUCCCGACUAACGAUAGGCUUGAUUCUGUUUGUCCCUUGUGAGAUUGGCCUCUUUUCUCACACUGGAGGAGGAAGAAGGAGCUGAGUUCCCUAGUCACAUGCUUAACUUAAGGAUCAGGAGAUCCUCCUUUGGAAGACUUCAGUUUUUAGUUGGAGCUUCCCAUUUUGGACCUUUCCAACCCAGGAACCAAUAGAUAAAGAAGAUGGGAUUUGACCAUUUAAUGCAAAAGAAACACAUUCACACACUAGCUUCAGCUUUAGCCUUCAGCAACUGAGGAAGCACUUGUCUUUGCUGAAUCCCUAUUAAAGAUUGCUAUGAUCUUUCCAUUGGGAUCUUGGAGUGAGAAUUCUUUGUGGAUCAAGCAAUUCUAUCUUUCUUCAAGGAGCAGAAGUAAGCCUCUUUCUCAGCCCUGCAGGAACCAAAGCCUGCGGGGCGGGGGGCAAGAUCCUUUUUGAUUUAAAAUUUAUUGUAAUUUUGCUGAUUUAAAGAAAGUGUAUGAUUAAAGGAAUAGGAUUGAACAGAGGCAUGCUUUGUGCAAAUAUGGAGUUGAAAGAUGGUUGCAGAAUGUGCUAAGGCUGAUAAAUGAUGGAAGUGAUACGUGCAUUAAAAUAAAUGGAAUAUUUAGCAAAUAUCUCAUUAUUGUGGAUGGAAUAAAGCAAGGUUAUUUCCUUGAUAGAUUGAUGUUUUUAGGUAUCCUUGUGGUGACAUUAGAAGUGUUCAUUUGGGACAUGAAUGUUUGCAUGCAGAUAAUGCCCUGUGGUCUAUGGUGAUUCUUAAUCAUCCAGGUUGUGGUUGUCCCAAAAGUGCUUUUUUCAAAAGGCAAUUGGACUUUCUUUGGGUUUUUUUUAAUUGAAAAUGUUUUAUUUCAUAUCCAAGUAUUUUCAGUUCUGAACUGAAGAAGCUUCUUGGAUGACAAGCAAAACUUUUUUGAAGAAAAUUACCCAAGAAGAUCUAGUUGCCUUUUGGAAGAAGCACCUUUUGGGAUAAUGCCCUGUUGCUGACUGAGAAAUGGAAUGAUUUGCAAUAAAUAUUAGAUAAAUUGUAUGAUCAGCAAGGAGUAUGGAUCUGAAAUUUAAUGCGUCUAAGAUCUGUUGGAGAGGGAAAAUGAAACAAAUUAUUGAAAGUUGUACAUUAAUAGUAAAAAAUUAAGAGCAAGUACAUGCAAGUACAUGCAUCAUUUGCACCUCUAUAACUGUCUGGUUUGGUUCUGCAACCCAACAAGAAAGACACAGACUUCAGAGGAUAAUUAGAACUGCAGAAAAAAUAAUUGCUACCAACCUACCUUCUAUUGAGGACCUGUAUACUGCACAAAUCAAGAAGAGGGCUGUGAAAAUAUUUACAGAUCCCUCACAUCCAGGACAUAAACUGAUUCAACUCCUACCCUCAAAACGACGCUAUAGAGCACUGCACACCAGAACAACUAGACACAAGAACAGUUUUUCCCCGAAGGCCAUCACUCUGCUAAACAAUUAAUUCCCUCAACACUGUCAAACUAUUUACUAAAUCUGCACUAUUAAUCUUGUCAUCGUUCCCAUCACCAAUCUCUUUCCAGUUAUGACUGUAUGACUGUAACUUUGUUGCUGGCAAUCCUUAUGAUUUAUAUUGAUAUAUUGACCAUCAUUUGUGUUGUAAAUGUUGUACCUUGAUGAACAUAUAUUUUCUUUUAUGUACACUGAGAGCAUAUGCACCAAGACAACUUCCUUGUGUGUCCAAUCA